ensembl:snRNA U6 U6 spliceosomal RNA
GUGCUCUCUUCAGCAGCACAUGUACCAAAAUCAGAACCAUACACAGAAGAUCAGCCUGGUCCCUGUGCAAGGGUGGCGUGUAAAUUUGUGAAGCUGUCCCUAUUUUU